AAUAUUGACACCAUGUACCACAACAAUCUGUUUUCUAUUACUCAAAUAACUUUGGAAAAGCUUGAUUAUUUACCAAAACAUAAUUUACAUCAUAAACCAUGUUAUUUUCAUAAUUUUUACAAUUUUGAUAUAUAUAUAUUAUAAAAAUACUGUAAUUUUGAAGUUCUAAAGUUUAUUUCUGUAAAUUUUUAUUACU